UGAAGAUGGAGGAAGCUAGUGG
rnacentral:piRNA from 1 species